CAGCCUGUCUCUCUCCUGGACAUUUCAGAAACAUGGGAGAACAAGUUGGGGUGCCCUCCCUGCUUUUAUCCAGCUUCUGUCUGAUUUCUCAGCAUCUCUCCCUGUGGGAUCCAAACUUGCUCACCUGACCAGGAGGUGAAGGAGCGGCCAGCACUGAGGUGCUAGUCACCAGGAAAUGGGACAGGUUUGUAUGGUCUGCCCCAGUCCACCUGGCUUCUUUUCCAGCAUAGAAGGCAGCCCUAUGAGGUCUUCCUGAUUACCACUGGGGGACUAGUUUUGAGAAAGGAGAGAGAGAGCCAGAACUGGGCAGAUUAUCCAGCUAUCUCCAUUCACAAAGGAGACUCGAGAAUGGGGGCUGAAGGACAGCUGAACUCCAAAUAGAACCACGUUGUAAAAUCCUCCUGAAAAGACUUUGCAUUUUCCUCUUGGUAAGCAUAGUUCUCAGCCUCAAUAAAGCUUGACCAGGAUUUCAA